AGAAUCAACGCUGGCGGCGUGCCUCAGACAUGCAAGUCGAACGAUUAAAGCUCUCUUCGGAGAGUGUAUAGAGUGGCGCACGGGUGAGUAACACGUAAGUAAUCUACCUUUGAGUGGGGAAUAACCCGGGGAAACCCGAGCUAAUACCGCAUAAUGCAGCGGCAUCUAAUGAUGACAGUUGUUAAAGAAUUUAUUCGCUUGAAGAGGAGCUUGCGGCAGAUUAGCUAGUUGGUAAGGUAACGGCUUACCAAGGCUACGAUCUGUAACCGGUCUAAGAGGACGGUCGGUCACACUGACACUGAAUAACGGGUCAGACUCCUACGGGAGGCAGCAGUCGGGAAUUUUGGGCAAUGGGCGAAAGCCUGACCCAGCAACGCCGCGUGAAGGAUGAAGUAUUUCGGUAUGUAAACUUCGAAAGAAUAGGGAAGAAUCAAAUGAACGGUACCAUUUAUAAGGUCCGGCUAACUACGUUAGCCAGCAGCCGC
rnacentral:rRNA from 1 species